AGCAUAUAGUUUAUAAAAAAUUUAAAUUUUGGAAAUUUAUGAAGGAAGAAAUUUCUUUGCUGAA
rnacentral:tRNA from 1 species